GUCCAACAAGUGUAAGCAGAUUAUCUUUGAUGAGCUCCGCUGGGUCGAAGUCAGGAGCACGUAUUCUGAUUCUUUGGGGGGCUGUAGGGUUUCCAGUGAUGGACUUCCCCUUUUCCUCCGCCGUGAAGCGUUUCGCCAUUUGUUGAGUUGAGUCUAUGAGGGGUGAUGUUGAAACUCAGAAAAUUAGGUGUAGCAGGUGCAGGCUGUUGAAUCAAAUUGCAGGUAGCAAGCCGAAGAAGAGUAAGGCGUUUCGGUAGUAAGUAGGGAAUACGAGUAGCUCUCUGAGGUUUAGAAAGGUAGUGGCCAGCGCAGGGGGGUUGGAGGAGUAACCGUCGACUCCCUCCCCUUUCUAGCAGACUCGCCGGGUGCUUCGUACGUUUCGGGGAAAGCGGAGCUGAG
rnacentral:lncRNA from 1 species